rnacentral:rRNA from 1 species
GACGAACGCUGGCGGCGUGCUUAACACAUGCAAGUCGAACGGAAAGGCCCUGCUUUUGUGGGGUGCUCGAGUGGCGAACGGGUGAGUAACACGUGAGUAACCUGCCCUUGACUUUGGGAUAACUUCAGGAAACUGGGGCUAAUACCGGAUAGGAGCUCCUGCUGCAUGGUGGGGGUUGGAAAGUUUCGGCGGUUGGGGAUGGACUCGCGGCUUAUCAGCUUGUUGGUGGGGUAGUGGCUUACCAAGGCUUUGACGGGUAGCCGGCCUGAGAGGGUGACCGGCCAAAUGGGGAAUGGAAACCGGCCAAGACCCCUAGGGGGGGCAGGAGGGGGGAAUUUUCCAAAAGGGGCGGAAGCCUGGCGAAGCAACGCCGGGGGCGGGAUGGCGGCCUUGGGGUUGUAAACCGCUUUCGCGUGUGACGAAGCGGGAGGAACGGAAAUGGGAAAAGAAGCACCGGUAAACUACGG